ACAGCCACACCAAAUCAAAACACCUAUUCCCAUAUGAUCACCGAAGUUAAGCAAUCUCAAACCUGGUUAGUACCUAGAUGGGUGACUGCUUGGAUAUACCAGGUGCUGUAUG